rnacentral:rRNA from 1 species
GGCUCAGAGCGAACGUUAGCGCGGGCCUAACACAUGCAAGUCGAACGCGAAAGGUCUUCGGACUGAGUAGAGUGGCGCACGGGUGAGUAACACGUAGGUAAUCUACCCUUUGGCGGGGGAUAACGUUCCGAAAGGAGCGCUAAUACCGCAUAAGACCACGGAGUCUCCGGACGCUGUGGGAAAAGGUGGCCUCUUCUUGAAAGCUACCACCGAAGGAUGAGCCUGCGUCCCAUCAGCUAGUUGGUAAGGUAAAGGCCUACCAAGGCCACGAUCGGUAGCUGGUCUGAGAGGAUGAUCAGCCACACUGGGACUGAGACACGGCCCAGACUCCUACGGGAGGCAGCAGUGGGGAAUAUUGGACAAUGGGCGCAAGCCUGAUCCAGCAAUGCCGCGUGUGUGAAGAAGGCCUGCGGGUUGUAAAGCACUUUCAGUGGGGAAGAACAGAUUCGGGUCAAUACCCGGAGCCCUGACGUUACCCACAGAAGAAGCACCGGCUAACUCCGUG